UCGGGAAUUUUGCUCAAUGGGCGCAAGCCUGAAGCAGCAACGCCGCGUGAGGGAUGAAGGCCUUCGGGUUGUAAACCUCUUUUCUCAGGGACGAUGAUGACGGUACCCGAGGAAUAAGUCACGGCUAACUACGUGCCAGCAGCCGCGGUAAUACGUAGGUGACCAGCGUUGUCCGGAUUUACUGGGCGUAAAGAGCGCGCAGGCGGUCGUUCAAGUCGAGUGUGAAAGACCCCGGCUCAACUGGGGAGGGUCACUCGAUACUGAUCGACUUGAAGGCAGGAGAGGGAAGCGGAAUUCCCGGUGUAGUGGUGAAAUGCGUAGAUAUCGGGGGGAACACCAGUGGCGAAGGCGGCUUCCUGGCCUGUUCUUGACGCUGAGGCGCGAAAGCUAGGGGAGCAAACG
rnacentral:rRNA from 1 species